UGUAUCUUUCUUCUUCCUCUUCCUCUUCUUCUUCAACUUCACACUUAUCCACUGUUUUGAUCAAAUAAGAUCUCAAUAAAACACUGAAGUUUUCAGGUUUGACGUGACAAAAUGUGAGGACGUUUUAGAGGAGUGAAUGCUUUUGCAACACACUGCAUCUGGUUGUUUUGUUGUUUUUUUCCUUAACAUUUAUGCAAUGA
rnacentral:miRNA from 1 species